UUCCGGGUUGAUCCCCCCGGACCCGACUGCUAUCAGAGUGGGACUAAGCCAUGCGAGUCAACAUAGCAAUAUGUGGCAUACGGCUCAGUAACACGUAGUCAACAUGCCCAGGGGACGUGGAUAACCUCGGGAAACUGAGGAUAAACCGCGAUAAGUCACUACUUCUGGAAUGGGUAAUGACUCAAAUCUACAUGGCCCCUGGAUUGGACUGCGGCCGAUCAGGCUGUUGGUGAGGUAAUGGCCCACCAAACCUGUAACCGGUACGGGCUCUGAGAGGAGGAGCCCGGAGAUGGGCACUGAGACAAGGGCCCAGGCCCUAUGGGGCGCAGCAGGCGCGAAACCUCUGCAAUAGGCGAAAGCCUGACAGGGUUACUCUGAGUGAUUUCCGUUAAGGAGAUCUUUUGGCACCUCUAAAAAUGGUGCAGAAUAAGGGGUGGGCAAGUCUGGUGUCAGCCGCCGCGGUAAUACCAGCACCCCGAGUGGUCGGGACGUUUAUUGGGCCUAAAGCAUCCGUAGCCGGUUCUACAAGUCUUCCGUUAAAUCCACCUGCUUAACAGAUGGGCUGCGGAAGAUACUAUAGAGCUAGGAGGCGGGAGAGGCAAGCGGUACUCGAUGGGUAGGGGUAAAAUCCGUUGAUCCAUUGAAGACCACCAGUGGCGAAGGCGGCUUGCCAGAACGCGCUCGACGGUGAGGGAUGAAAGCUGGGGGAGCAAACCGGAUUAGAUACCCGGGUAGUCCCAGCUGUAAACGAUGCAGACUCGGUGAUGAGUUGGCUUCUUGCCAACUCAGUGCCGCAGGGAAGCCGUUAAGUUUGCCACCCGGGGCGUACGGUCGCAAGACUGAAACUUAAAGGAAUAAGCGGGGGAGCA
rnacentral:rRNA from 1 species